CCCUUAGAUGCUCUGGGCCGCACGCGCACUACACUGGUCGAUGCAACGAGUUUCUUUCCUUGGCCGACAGGCCUGGGCAAUCUUUGAACAUCGAUCGUGAUCGGGAUAGAUUCUUGUAAUUUUUGAUCUUAAACGAGGAAUUCCUAGUAAACGCAAGUCAUCAGCUUGCAUUGAUUACGUCCCUGCCCUUUGUACACACCGCCCGUCGCACCUACCGAUUGAAUGGUCCGGUGAAAUCUCCGGACUGGCGUGAGUCGGAGCAAUCUGACAAACGCCGGAAAGUUGAUUAAACCUUACCAUUUAGAGGAAGGUGAAGUCGUAACA
rnacentral:rRNA from 1 species